rnacentral:rRNA from 1 species
UAUUUUAAAGCAAGCUUUAAAAUAACUUAGCGGCGGACGGGUGAGUAACGCGUGGGCAACCUACCCUAUACAGAGGGAUAGCCUCGGGAAACCGGGAUUAAUACCUCAUAAAACUCUAGCAUCGCAUGAUGCAUGAGUCAAAGAUUUAUCAGUAUAGGAUGGGCCCGCGUCUGAUUAGCUAGUUGGUAAGGUAAUGGCUUACCAAGGCAACGAUCAGUAGCCGACCUGAGAGGGUGAUCGGCCACACUGGAACUGAGACACGGUCCAGACUCCUACGGGAGGCAGCAGUGGGGAAUAUUGCACAAUGGGCGAAAGCCUGAUGCAGCAACGCCGCGUGAGCGAUGAAGGCCUUCGGGUCGUAAAGCUCUGUCCUAAGGGAAGAAUAAAUGACGGUACCUUAGGAGGAAGCCCCGGCUAACUACGUGCCAGCAGCCGCGGUAAUACGUAGGGGGCGAGCGUUAUCCGGAAUCAUUGGGCGUAAAGGGUGCGUAGGCGGUUAUGCAAGUUAGGGGUGAAAGGCUACGGCUCAACCGUAGUAAGCCUUUAAAACUGCAUAACUUGAGUGCAGGAGAGGAGAGUGGAAUUCCUAGUGUAGCGGUGAAAUGCGUAGAUAUUAGGAGGAACACCAGUGGCGAAGGCGACUCUCUGGACUGUAACUGACGCUGAGGCACGAAAGCGUGGGGAGCGAACAGGAUUAGAUACCCUGGUAGUCCACGCCGUAAACGAUGAGUGCUAGGUGUCGGGGGUCGAACCUCGGUGCCGCAGCUAACGCAUUAAGCACUCCGCCUGGGGAGUACGGUCGCAAGACUGAAACUCAAAGGAAUUGACGGGGACCCGCACAAGCAGCGGAGCAUGUGGUUUAAUUCGAAGCAACGCGAAGAACCUUACCAAAACUUGACAUCCUCUGCAUUACUUUUAAUCGAGGAAAUCCCUUCGGGGACAGAGUGACAGGUGGUGCAUGGUUGUCGUCAGCUCGUGUCGUGAGAUGUUGGGUUAAGUCCCGCAACGAGCGCAACCCUUGUCUUUAGUUGCCAGCACAUAAUGGUGGGCACUCUAGAGAGACUGCCGGGGAUAACUCGGAGGAAGGUGGGGAUGACGUCAAAUCAUCAUGCCCCUUAUGUUUUGGGCUACACACGUGCUACAAUGGCUGGUACAACGGGAGGCGAAAGAGUAAUCUGGAGCAAAUCCUAAAAGCCAGUCUCAGUUCGGAUUGUGGGCUGAAACUCGCCCACAUGAAGCUGGAGUUGCUAGUAAUCGUGAAUCAGAAUGUCGCGGUAAAUGCGUUCCCGGGUCUUGUACACACCGCCCGUCACACCAUGGAAGUUGGGGGCACCCGAAGUCGGCUAUCUAACCGCAAGGAGGAAGCUGCCGAAGGUGAAAUCAAUGACUAGGGUGAAGUCGUAACAAGGUA